UGAUAUUUUAAAUUGCCGCAGUAUUUUGACUGUGCAAAGGUAGCAUAAUAAUUAGUUUCUUAAUUAGGAACUGGAAUGAAUGAUUGGACAAGAAAAUUUCUGUCUCUCUUUUAAUUUUUUUGAAUUUUAUUUUUAAGUGAAAAAGCUUAAAUUUUUAUAAAAGACGAGAAGACCCUAUAGAGUUUAAUAGAUUAGUUUAAUUAAUUUUUAGGAAUGGCUAUUACAAUAAUUUAUUUAGUUGGGGUGAUUUGAAGAUUAAAAAAAUUCUUUGAUUAUUAAGUUAAUAAUUUUUAAUUUUUUUAUUUAAAUUUGUUAAAUUUAAAAUAAAUUACCUUAGGGAUAACAGCGUAAUUUUUCUUAAAAGUUCUUAUUUAAAGGAAAGUUUGCGACCUCGAUGUUGGAUUAAAAUUAAUUUUUGGUGCAAUAACUUAAAAAUUAGGUCUGUUCGACCUUUAAAAUUUUACAUGAUCUGAGUUUAAACCGGUGUAAACCAGGUUGGAUUCUAUCUUUAGAGAAUUAAAUAUAUUUUAGUACGAAAGGACCAAGUAUAUGUUAAAUUAAUUG
rnacentral:rRNA from 1 species